CACCAGGUUGAUUCUGCCUGACGAGGAUGCUUGUCUCUGGGAUUAAGCCAUGCAAGUCUGGUGAAGCGAAAGUGGAACUGCGAACGGCUCAGUAGAACGGUGAUUAUUUAAUCGUGUAGGAAGGAUAACCGCGGGAAACUGUGGCUAAUAACACGAGUAAGACGCCGACCCAUCAGUUUUAUCGUACGGUAAGGGCGUACGAUGGCUUUAACGGGUACGGGGGAUCAGGGUUUGAUUCCGGAGAGGGAGCCUGAGAAACGGCUACCAGGUCUAAGGACAGCAGCAGGCGCGAAACUUGCCCAAUUGGAGAGAGGCAGUUAUGAGACGUAUAUUUUGUAACCGGGGUAGAAUACCGGUGAUUGACUGGAGGGCAAGUCUGGUGCCAGCAGCCGCGGUAAUUCCAGCUCCAGGAGUGUCAUAGUGCAUUGCUGCAUUUAAAAGGUCCGUAGUCAGUGUUGACAGGGAUGCUAGAAGACACUUUCUUCAUGGAGUGUAUUGGCAUUCUAGGUUAGCAUGUGAGAGCGGAAGAGGGCGACUGUAUUGCGUAGCGAGAGGUGAAAGUUGACGACCUACGUAGGACAAACCGAAGCGAAAGCUGUCGUCCAGUACGUAGCCGGUGAUCAAGGACGUAAGCCGGASGAGCAAAGGUGAUUAAAGACCCCUGUAGUUCCGGCCGUAAACUAUGCCAACUGGGUGUUACGUAGUGGUACCCACGAGAAAUCAAGUAUAUGGGCUAUGGGGAUAGUNCGAUCGCAAGAUUGAAACUUGAAGAAGUUGACGGAAGGACACCACCAGGAGUGGAAUGUGCGGCUUAAUUUGACUCAACGCGGGCACAACUUAUCAGGGCCAGUUGUAUGACGAAUCUAUGAUGAAUACGACUAAGUGGUGCAUGGCCGUUCACAACAUAUGAGGCGACUUUUAGGUUUAUUGCUGUAAUGUGUGAGACCCUCAGCUACGGCGACUGGGGACUAUAAGUUUCAGGAAGGAGGGGGCUAUAACAGGUCUGUGAUGCCCUUAGAUGUUCUGGGCUGCACGCGCACUACAAUGUUAUUUCUAGGUAUAUUGUAAAGAUAAAGGAUAACUCGGUUGGGAUUGCGUUCUGUAAUGGACGCAUGAACCAGGAAUUCCUAGUAGUCGCGUGUCACUAACGGGCGACGACUGCGUCCCUGUUCUUUGUACACACCGCCCGUCGUUAUCUAAGAUGGUGCUAUGUUCGAAGAGGGUUUUCCUUCUGAGGACGUAGGAUUAGAUUGGAUACAAGUCGUAACAAGGUUGCUGUAGGAGAACCAGCAGCAGGAUCAUAA
rnacentral:rRNA from 14 species